UUUUGAAUUGAAUAGUCAUUGGCUAAGAGGUGUAAACAGAAUUGGGCACCAGGACUGGAGCCCAGGACCCCCUCCCUCCCUGGGCUACAGUAACACUCGUUCUUGCUGUUCCCUCUCUGCUUUCAUUCUGCAUAUCAGCCAGCUCCAACAGGAUGAACAGAGGCAGUGAGUGCCUUUAAAUCCGACCAGCUCCGAGCCUGUUAGUGAGGGCUCUCUCCUGGAAGCAAUCCCAGUCUGAAGUCAGCAAGGAGUCCCAAAGUCCCUUCUGAUUCUGGACCACAGAACAGAGUACUGAUCAUCAGACUAUCAUGACUUGUUGUAUUAUAGGCACCGCAGUUACAGUUCGCUUUUCACUGGUGAUGACCAUGGAGUCACCUCCCAAACUCCAUUCCUCAAACCUGUUUUGAACUGACCAGCACCUUCCUGCCUUCAACCCUUGCUACCUUGCUGCCCUGGAGUCCAACAGCCAGCAGCAGUCCCGAUCUGAUGGCACCCUACACUAAGCAUACUGCUUGGCAGUGGCCUGGAAAUGAUGGGCAAGCAUGGACUCCCAUUGGGUUAUAACCAGAUUCUUGAGCCAGCCCAUCUCAUUUCAUUCAUGUCCAAAAUUUGUUAUAAUGAAAAUAAAGUCACUGGAAUGACUUCUGGAUGAGAUAAUGGUUUUCCACUUUGAAAAUGAACUCUCCGCUUCCACAUUUAUUUUCUAUAAACGCCUUGGCAUUUAUAUUGCAACAGGAGACUACUGAAGUGACAUUAUCUGAUAAAUAUCAUGUUAUACAGCUGCAAUUUACAAUGCAUAUAUUUUUAACGGUGCUUCUAAGCUAAAU